rnacentral:rRNA from 1 species
AGUGAACGCUGGCGGUAGGCCUAACACAUGCAAGUCGAACGGCAGCACAGUAAGAGCUUGCUCUUACGGGUGGCGAGUGGCGGACGGGUGAGGAAUACAUCGGAAUCUACUUUUUCGUGGGGGAUAACGUAGGGAAACUUACGCUAAUACCGCAUACGACCUACGUGUGAAAGCAGGGGAUCUUCGGACCUUGCGCGAUUGAAUGAGCCGAUGUCGGAUUAGCUAGUUGGCGGGGUAAAGGCCCACCAAGGCGACCAUCCGUAGCUGGUCUGAGAGGAUGAUCAGCCACACUGGAACUGAGACACGGUCCAGACUCCGACGGGAGGAAGCAGUGGGGAAUAUUGGACAAUGGGCGCAAGCCUGAUCCAGCCAUACCGCGUGGGUGAAGAAGGCCUUCGGGUUGUAAAGCCCUUUUGUUGGGAAAGAAAAGCAGCAGGUUAAUACCCCGCUGUUCUGACGGUACCCAAAGAAUAAGCACCGGCUAACUUCGUG